rnacentral:antisense_RNA from 1 species
GCUAGAUGUGGAAACAGGAAGAGAACUAGAACUGGAAGUAAGGCAUUGAAGAUGUGACUGAAUUGCUGCAAUCUCAUGAUCAAAUUUGAAUGGAUGAGGAGUUGCUUUUUAGGGAUGAGCAAAGAAAGUGGCUUCUCGAGAUGGAAUCUACUGGUGAAGUUGCUGUGAACAUUGUUAAAAUGCCAAUAAAGGAUUUAGGAAUUACAGAAACCUGGUUGAUAAAGCAGUGCCAGGGUGUGAGAGAGUUGACUUCAAUUUUGAAAUAAGUUCCACUGGCUGGGUGUGGUGGCUCACACCUGCAAUCCCAGCACUUUAGGAGGCCGAGACUGGUAGAUCACUUGAGGUCAGGAGUUCAAGACCAGCCUUGCCAACAUGGUGAAACCCCACCUCUACCAAAUUAGCCAGGUUGCUCCUUGAGGGCAGGACAGUUCUUAUGGCUUUAUCCGUUGCCUAAGCACAGAGAGGUCUGCGAGGUCAAAACUAUUGUCAUGAUAGCAAGAUGCCUGUCUUUUUCAUUUAUUCUCACAGUGUGCAGAGGCUACAUGAUGUGUGAUGACAUCCUCAUUGAUGUUAAUGAAUGGUGCUAUACUUGAAUUUUCUAAGGUGUCAUUAGGUAGGUUUAGCAAUUCUCCUGCCUCAGCCUCCUGCAUAACUGGGACUACAGGGAAGCACCAUUUUCCACAAAACCCUCAAGAAGGACUUGUUGCAACUGGAAAAGCAAUUAAAUGUGAAUCGUGAUCCAGGAGAAAAUAACAACUCACAUAACUCCCAAAUUAAAAGUUUUCCAAAGAUA